GUGAGUCAUCGAAUCUUUGAACGCAUAUUGCGCCCUUUGGUAUUCCGAAGGGCAUGCCUGUUCGAGCGUCAUUAUCACCUCUCGAGCCCUCGGGCUUGGUCUUGGACGGCUUGGUUUUGGCAACAAAACUCCUCCCAAAGUUAAUGACGGCGGCCUGUGAGACCCCCGGUACACUGAGCUUCUUAACUGAGCACGUAUCGGUUAGAGGGUGGACAGGACCCGGUCUUCUUUCUUAAAACAGGAAAAUCUCUUUUCUGCAAGGUUGACCUCGGAUCAGGUAGGGAUACCCGCUGAACUUAAGCAUAUCAAUAAGCGGAGGA
rnacentral:misc_RNA from 1 species